rnacentral:rRNA from 1 species
CCUACGGGAGGCAGCAGUGAGGAAUAUUGGUCAAUGGACGAGAGUCUGAACCAGCCAAGUCGCGUGAAGGAUGACUGCACUAUGGGUUGUAAACUUCUUUUAUAUGGGAAUAAAAUGUUCCACGUGUGGGAUUUUGUAUGUACCAUAUGAAUAAGGAUCGGCUAACUCCGUGCCAGCAGCCGCGGUAAUACGGAGGAUCCGAGCGUUAUCCGGAUUUAUUGGGUUUAAAGGGAGCGUAGGUGGAUUGUUAAGUCAGUUGUGAAAGUUGGCGGCUCAACCGGAAAAUUGCAGUUGAAACUGGCAGUCUUGAGUACAGUAGAGGUGGGCGGAAUGCGUGGUGUAGCGGUGAAAUGCUUAGAUAUCACGAAGAACUCCGAUUGCGAAGGCAGUUCACUGGACUGCAACUGACACUGAGGCUCGAAAGUGUGGGUAUCAAACAGGAUUAGAUACCCCUGUAGUC